AGUGAACGCUGGCGGUAGGCCUAACACAUGCAAGUCGAACGGCAGCACAGUAAGAGCUUGCUCUUACGGGUGGCGAGUGGCGGACGGGUGAGGAAUACAUCGGAAUCUACUUUUUCGGGGGGGAUAACGUAGGGAAACUUACGCUAAUACCGCAUACGACCUACGGGUGAAAGCAGUGGAUCUUCGGACCUUGCGCGAUUGAAUGAGCCGAUGUCGGAUUAGCUAGUUGGCGGGGUAAAGGCCCACCAAGGCGACGAUCCGUAGCUGGUCUGAGAGGAUGAUCAGCCACACUGGAACUGAGACACGGUCCAGACUCCUACGGGAGGCAGCAGUGGGGAAUAUUGGACAAAGGGCGCAAGCCUGAUCCAGCCAUACCGCGUGGGUGAAGAAGGCCUUCGGGUUGUAAAGCCCUUUUGUUGGGAAAGAAAAGCAGCAGGUUAAUACCCCGCUGUUCUGACGGUACCCAAAGAAUAAGCACCGGCUAACUUCGUG
rnacentral:rRNA from 1 species